rnacentral:rRNA from 1 species
UACGUAGGGUGCGAGCGUUAAUCGGAAUUACUGGGCGUAAAGCGUGCGCAGGCGGUUUUGUAAGCCAGAUGUGAAAUCCCCGGGCUUAACCUGGGAAUGGCAUUUGGGACUGCAAGGCUGGAGUGUGGCAGAGGAGACUGGAAUUCCUGGUGUAGCAGUGAAAUGCGUAGAUAUCCGGAGGAACACCGGUGGCGAAGGCGGCUUCCUGGACCGACACUGACGCUGAGGCGCGAAAGCUAGGGGAGCAAACGGG